rnacentral:lncRNA from 1 species
CACUAGGAAAAUGUUUUUCAAUGUUCUCUUCCAGGAAGCCAUUUUUGAGUCCAGAAGAUGCCUGAGAUGUCUUGCUUAUCUAGAGGUCUUGCUGCAGCUUCGGGGUCUGUAUCCGGGGUUGGUCACCUCCUAUCAGCAUUAUAGCAGAUGCCGGUGGUUGAACGAGAGUUUGCUGCAGGAAGAAAGAGGCCCCUGAGGUAGGGAUAAGCAUUUUAAAUCACCUUCCUUUUCUCCUGCUUGAGAGCUCCAAGGGCUG